GUGUGUGUGUGUGUGUGUGUGUGUGUGUGUGUGUGUGUGCACUGCAGUGUGAUGGAGGUUUUUGUACGAUGGUUUCAUUAGAAUGUAUCACUGUGGUUCUUUUUUGGUGGAGGCUCCAAACUCGUGGUGAACACAUGUCCCACAGCACCCUCCGUGUCUCUGCUCCCUCCGUCCCCUCUGCAGCUGUCUGAAGAAUCGGCCUCGCUGCUCUGCCUGCUGUCUGGCUACUCUCCACAGGGGGCGCUGGUGAGCUGGACAGUGGACGGCUCACAGGUGAAGAACGAGGUUCUGACCAGCGCAGAAGAAGAGAAGAACGGCCGUUACAGCCGCAGCAGCACCCUGACCCUCAGCAAAGACCUCUGGGAAAAGGGGGAGGAGUUCAGCUGUAGGGUCUCCCAUAACAACGUCGAUCAUCCGGUCACGUUCAGAAAGAGUCAGUGUGAAGGCUAGUGGAUCCAAGAUAGAGUUUAACAUAGAGCUGCUUAUGAUCCAUCUACAAUAAAGUUUCAAUUCUACACAAUGCUGACAUUUCUGUCUUUACUCUCUUCACUGUCCUGUUGCUCUUCCUGUAGUUUUUGCUGAAAUAAAGCUGAGUUUUGGA